AAAUAGAGGGGGUAUAAGUUUGACUAAAUUCUACCUUUUUAUAGUUUCAUUUUUUUUAACUUAUAUAGAAUAUAUUGAUUAUAAAUUUGAUUUUUUCUGAAUUUUUUUGACAUGUUUUACUCAGUUACAUGAGUACAAAGGAUAUUUUCAGUCCUAUAAUCGUUAAUUGCAGUCUUUAAAAAAAAAAAUUCACCCUAUUGUUCUACUUGUUGUCUGUUCACAGUAAGUUCAUUUCAAGGUUUGUGCCAGUGGGUAUUAUUGGUGCUUUUUGAAGUCAAGGUGGAUUGUCCAGGAAGGUCUUGUUAAUGUUAUGUUCAUCUAUAAUGGCAUAGAAAGCUAAUCUGUUUAGUAUUUGUGCAUUUUACUAAAAUGGCAGCUUAAAGUUGUGUAUCUGCUAUUGUGAUGCCAAUGCCGGUGUUUUAA
rnacentral:lncRNA from 1 species